rnacentral:lncRNA from 1 species
CCAUACUCUGUCUAUAAAGGGACUCUAGGCUGCAUUUCAUACAGUAAUCAAUUUCUCGUUUAUUUUUGUUCUGUUGUAUCAGCUUAUAAGGGUAGAGCUAUCGUCACCUCCAUUCUUCAAGCCGAGAUCGUCCUCUGUACUACUUUGGUCCUCAACUUUGGAUCCCAGGGUAGAUCUCGACGGCAAAAGUCUACCGGAUGGACGCAAGUCCCUCUUUCUCUGGAUGUCUCAACUCCAUUUUUGCUUGAUUUUGCUGUAAUGCUAACAGAUGGAACUGGUAAGUAUUUGGUGCAAAUCGACGACUUCGAAGUUCGGUAUACUCCUUGUACAAAACCGAACCACCAACACGCAGAAGUGGAUCGGAAGAAGGGUACACGGAGAUUUCAAUGGGUUAAUAAGCUCCUUCCCACGUCAUCUCGAUUUCGCUUGAAGUCCCAUUCAAGAUCGUCCGUAGCCGCAUCUUUGAAUUCGUCACCAAGUUCAUCGGUCAACUCUUUCGGUUAAAAAAAAACGUGGCCAUUGAAUUCGGAUUCGAGUAUUCGACGCAUCACUAUUUUUGCAGCAAUGUUAUUCUAUAUUUUACAAAUAUAAUUCUCCAUUUUUAACUAUAUUACUCAUAAUAAAACUAUAAUGCUUAGUUUCUAUCUUAAAUGUUUACAGAUGUACCUAUAGAGUGUACCUGUUAAAUCGUGCCCUUGCAGAAGACGCCAUUUAUUCGUAAAUUCUCUAUUUUAAGAUAAAUCGCACUAUCGACGAGAUUAUUCUUAACGCCACGACCCCCCCCCCCCCGCUUCAAAUGUUCAUCACACCAUUUCGCAGGGAAAAUACAGGAAAAAAGUUCCAAAAAUUUUAAUUAGUGUCAACAUUUUUUGAACUUUCAUGAGUACCAGUGCAAGACUGAGCUACCUGAGCUGGACACUCCCCACCCUCAGUCUUGCACUGGUACUCAUCAGAGCUCAAAAAAUGUUUUAGCUCUUAUUGCAUUUUUGGAACUUUUUGCCUUUGUUUCCCCCGCAAAAUGGUGUGGACCCAGCACUAUUUUACCACGUUGUUAUAUCCAGUGCGGGCCACUUUUCGGUGUCUUUUCCUCGUUUAAUGCUUACACAAUUAGGAUAUUAUAUAUCUAAAAUCUUAAUGGAAUUGGCUGACUUAUUGUCAGCAAGUCAGUGUUUAAUCGGCGAAAAUGCACUUCCCGUCGGGGUGGUAGUCAUGUCCCCCGCAUACAGGGCCGCAGCCACAGUCGAGAUGUUCGGUUCCGGGGCCGUACAGUUCCUGGUAUGUUUUCCACGUUAGAAUUUCGACGGGGCCGGAGCCGUCGUCGAAAAUGAACUCUCCACUCUCGAUCUGCUCCGGAGACACACCUCGCAUUGACUUGGCCAAAGGACAUCCGUUCUUAAACCAGCAGGUCUUGUGCGUUUUGCCGUAAAGAAUGUAGUCGCGCCAGUGACACCGGUUGCAACUGAAGUUCCGGUGUGGGAGGGCUUUGUCCUGCAAACGCUUCAAGACUGCUACCACGCGGUGGCGAUCGUACCCUUUACCCGGGGAUAUUUUCCGAACCUUGACUGAGAAUUUGUGGCUUUUUCCCAUCGGGAGAUCAAUCGUCUUUAGCCGAAAAACUGAUUUCAGUGGGCAUGCCUGAAAUUCAAAGGUCGAAAAAGAGGUCAGAACAAUACGCACUCGUUGAUUAGUGACAACAAAAUGAAAUAAAAUUGAUUGACAUAUUCGCGUUUUAAUAUAAAGAAUAAACGAUUUAGACGGCGGGUAACGAGGCUAAUUAUUACACAACUAAUGCCGAAACGUCUUGGUAUUAUUUGUGUGAUAAUCAGCCUCGUUACCCCCUGUUUAAAAUCU